AGCACGGCUGGAAUGCCCUCCAACUUCUGGCACUUGCAACGGGAAGUACUACAGUCAAACUCCAAAGAAAGGUCCUCUUGCCUGUAGAAAUAAUACCCAUUUGCCUGUAGAAAUAAUACUCCCCAAAGAUCUGGGGAAUAUGUCUGGAGGGAAGUCGAAGGUGUGGAGUGAGGUAAAGAGAAGAAAAAAAGAGGGAAGAAAGGUUGAGGGAAAGGGGGAGUGAGGAAUAGGAAAGAAGAAAGAAGGAGGAAGGAAGAGAUAGAGACAGAAACAGAGACGCCAUGAAGGAUACACGAAUCAUAAAAAGGUCCAAAGAUAUCUUCAAGAUGCAACCACACCAGAAUUUAGGAAAAACUUGGGAAGAUUUGUGUUAUCUGAUACAAAGUGAAGUGAACAGAUCCAGAAGAGCAAUGUAACAUAAUAAAUGAAAACAAGCUUGAAAGACUUAGGAACUCUGAUCAAGACAAUAACCAAUCAAAAUUACAGAAGAGUUAUAGUGAAUGAAAAGUUCUGUUCACCUCCAGAGAGAAAGGUGAUGAUCUCAGAGUCCAAAUUGAGGCAAUUUUUUUUUAAUUUGGAAAUUUGUUUAGCUUGUAUGUAUUUAUAAUGGAUAUUGUAGUUCUUGCUUUCUCAAAUGGGGAGGGGAGAAAUGGAGGUAGGAGAGAAAACUGUAAAUCUGGAGGAAAAUUUGGAUUAAAAAAUAAAGAUAUCAAAGAGAAGACAUCUAAAUUCUUUAAAUCAAAACAAUGGUAAAUAUAGAUGUAAGCUAACUAAUACCUAUAUAAUACUAGUCUUAAUGUUCAUUUU